UGCAUGGUGGUUUAGUGGUUAGUACAUUUGCCUCACACCUCCAGGGCCCGGGGUUCGAUUCCCGCUGGGGCCAUGUUU